rnacentral:rRNA from 1 species
GACGAACGCUGGCGGCGUGCUUAACACAUGCAAGUCGAGCGGUAAGGCCCUUUCGGGGGUACACGAGCGGCGAACGGGUGAGUAACACGUGGGUGACCUGCCCUCAGCUCUGGGAUAAGCCUGGGAAACCGGGUCUAAUACUGGAUAUGACUCCAUGACGCAUGUUGUGGGGUGGAAAGCCUUGUGCGGCUGAGGAUCGGGCCCGCGGCCUAUCA